rnacentral:rRNA from 1 species
AUUGAACGUUGGCGGCGUGGAUUAGGCAUGCAAGUCGAACGGGCCGCAAGGCCAGUGGCGGAAGGGUGAGUUAUGCGAUGGCAACCAACCUCGCGGAUGGGCAUAGCUGUGGAAACUACAGGUAAUACCCAGCGACGUUCGGGACAGGCAUCUUUCCUGAACCAAAGGUGUGAAUCCGCCGUGAGACGGGCCAUCGUGAUAUUAGGUAGUUGGCGGGGUAAUAGCCCACCAAGCCUAUGAUGUCUACCGGGCGUGCGAGCGUGGCCCGGCACACUGGGACUGAGACACUGCCCAGACUCUUACGGGAGGCUGCAGUCGAGAAUCUUCGGCAAUGGGCGAAAGCCUGACCGAGCGACGCCGCGUGGAGGAUGAAGGCCCUUGGGUUGUAAACUCCUGUCGAGGGGAAAGAAGGGUGGCUGAAGAAGUCAUCUUGACUGAUCCCUGGAGGAAGCACGGGCUAAGUUCGUGCCAGCCGCCGCGGUAAGAC